UACGUGCAAUUAAUGAUUGAACCCAUUUCAGAUGGCAAAGGCUUAACAGCCUUCGGCUUAAAGAGAUGAGAUGCCCAUUAUGAGACACGGAAUCUUCUAUGAGACGACUGGGGAAGACAGCUGCCAUGUUGUGAGCUGCCUUCUAGAGAGACCUGCAUGAGAAGGGUGUCUUCGGCCAACAGUCAGCAAGGACCUGAGGCCCACCAACAGCCCCGUGAGUGAACUUGGAAGCAGAAUCUCCCCCACUGAAGCCUGAAGAUGACUUCAGCCCUGGCCAGCACCUUGACUAUAGUCUUGUCAGAGACCCUGCACCAGGGCGCCCAGCUAAGCUGUGCCCAGAUUCCUAAUCCAUAGAAACUGUCAGAAAAUAAGUGAUUGUUGUUUUAAGCCUCUGUGAUUUGGAAUAAUCUGUUAAGUAGUAACAGAUAAGUAAUACAAGCAGCCAGGGCCUGGCAAUCCUGGCAUACUGAGCAUGACAUGCAGGGCCGUGAGAGACCCAUCCAUAACCAUCUGCCAACAACAGGUAAAGCGACAACCCCAGGUCAGCAAUGCCAUCUCCCCAGAAAAGGGCUGGCAUGCCGCGUGCCUAGUAUGUAGGAAAGAGCCAGAUACUGAGAUUGGAAACUAGAAUUUAGAAGGAAGCCCAUAGCUGGAACUAGCCUUACCAAUCUUAGAGCUAUUUGUGAAAAUUUUUGCUUGCUUGAGGACAUAAUGCAGGGUAGAAAAAAGUGGCUUCUGCUUUGUGCAUGUAGUGAGAAACAAGGUAGAGAGGAAUCCUUUUAGAGUCAAAUGCUGAAAUGCCUGCACUGCCUUCAGUGAACCAGAUUAUCCAGUUGUAUAUUACUCCCUCUGCUUGUUUGCCUUUUGUUCUUCUGGAGCCCUUUGUAAACUUUUGUUUAAAUAUUUUCCCUGGUCUUAUCUGUACUCUAGGGAAUUAUGAGAGUCAAAUGCUUGAGCCACAGAAUUAAAGAGGAAAUAGUGCCCCCUGGAGGCCAGAGUGGCAAUGCUCAGAGACCCAAAGAUGCAGGAGAAGCUGGGAGGAGGCAAGGAGGAUGGCAAGGAUCUUAAGAAAUGCUAGGAAAAUAUGUGAUAUGAUUUUAAAAUCUCCUUGAUUUAAAGCCUUUGAGAAAUUGGCAUGAAAAUUUUGUAACUAUGUGUGGUGAUGGAUGUUAGACUUACUGUGAUCAUUUCAUAAUGUAUACAAAUGUGGAAUUGUUAUACACCUGAAACUAGUAUCAUGUUAUAUGCCAAUUAUAUCUCAAUUAAAAAACUCAUUCUAAAUAACAAAAAAAAAUUUUUUCAAAGAGAAAUUGGUAUGGAAGGUUUUUGUCCUAACACAAUAAAGAGCUUUUUGUUUGUUGUUGUUUUGCAAAGAGAGAGUCAAUUUUUUUUUUUAUUAAAAAUUAUUCCUGGGUCAAACACAACUGAAACUGUGAACUCCAUGAGUGCAGAGACAAUAUCUUUUCAUCUGCAUCCUGGUCAUCAAAUAUAGUGCCUGAUGUACAACAAGUUCUCAAUAAACGUGUGCUGAAUGAAUGAUGAACCAA